rnacentral:rRNA from 1 species
UUUGGUUAAGUUAGAAAGGGCGCACGGUGGAUGCCUUGACACUAGGAGUCGAUGAAGGACGGGACUAACGCCGAUAUGCUUCGGGGAGCUGUAAGUAAGCUUUGAUCCGAAGAUUUCCGAAUGGGGAAACCCACCAUACGUAAUGGUAUGGUAUCCUUAUCUGAAUACAUAGGGUAAGGAAGACAGACCCAGGGAACUGAAACAUCUAAGUACCUGGAGGAAGAGAAAGCAAAUGCGAUUUCCUGAGUAGCGGCGAGCGAAACGGAACAUAGCCCAAACCAAGAGGCUUGCCUCUUGGGGUUGUAGGACAUUCUAUACGGAGUUACAAAGGAACGAGGUAGACGAAGCGACCUGGAAAGGUCCGUCGUAGAGGGUAACAACCCCGUAGUCGAAACUUCGUUCUCUCUUGAAUGUAUCCUGAGUACGGCGGAACACGUGAAAUUCCGUCGGAAUCUGGGAGGACCAUCUCCCAAGGCUAAAUACUCCCUAGUGAUCGAUAGUGAACCAGUACCGUGAGGGAAAGGUGAAAAGCACCCCGGAAGGGGAGUGAAAGAGAUCCUGAAACCGUGUGCCUACAAAUAGUCAGAGCCCGUUAAUGGGUGAUGGCGUGCCUUUUGUAGAAUGAACCGGCGAGUUACGAUCCCGUGCGAGGUUAAGCUGAAGAGGCGGAGCCGCAGCGAAAGCGAGUCUGAAUAGGGCGUUUAGUACGUGGUCGUAGACCCGAAACCAGGUGAUCUACCCAUGUCCAGGGUGAAGUUCAGGUAACACUGAAUGGAGGCCCGAACCCACGCACGUUGAAAAGUGCGGGGAUGAGGUGUGGGUAGCGGAGAAAUUCCAAUCGAACCUGGAGAUAGCUGGUUCUCCCCGAAAUAGCUUUAGGGCUAGCCUUAAGUGUAAGAGUCUUGGAGGUAGAGCACUGAUUGGACUAGGGGUCCUCAUCGGAUUACCGAAUUCAGUCAAACUCCGAAUGCCAAUGACUUAUCCUUAGGAGUCAGACUGCGAGUGAUAAGAUCCGUAGUCAAAAGGGAAACAGCCCAGACCGCCAGCUAAGGUCCCAAAGUGUGUAUUAAGUGGAAAAGGAUGUGGAGUUGCUUAGACAACUAGGAUGUUGGCUUAGAAGCAGCCACCAUUUAAAGAGUGCGUAAUAGCUCACUAGUCGAGUGACUCUGCGCCGAAAAUGUACCGGGGCUAAAUACACCACCGAAGCUGCGGAUUGAUACCAAUGGUAUCAGUGGUAGGGGAGCGUUCUAAGGACAGUGAAGUCAGACCGUAAGGACUGGUGGAGUGCUUAGAAGUGAGAAUGCCGGUAUGAGUAGCGAAAGACGGGUGAGAAUCCCGUCCACCGAAUGCCUAAGGUUUCCUGAGGAAGGCUCGUCCGCUCAGGGUUAGUCAGGACCUAAGCCGAGGCCGACAGGCGUAGGCGAUGGACAACAGGUUGAUAUUCCUGUACCACCUCUUUAUCGUUUGAGCAAUGGAGGGACGCAGAAGGAUAGAAGAAGCGUGCGAUUGGUUGUGCACGUCCAAGCAGUUAGGCUGAUAAGUAGGCAAAUCCGCUUAUCAUGAAGGCUGAGCUGUGAUGGGGAAGCUCCUUAUGGAGCGAAGUCUUUGAUUCCCCGCUGCCAAGAAAAGCUUCUAGCGAGAUAAAAGGUGCCUGUACCGCAAACCGACACAGGUAGGCGAGGAGAGAAUCCUAAGGUGUGCGAGAGAACUCUGGUUAAGGAACUCGGCAAAAUGACCCCGUAACUUCGGGAGAAGGGGUGCUUUCUUAACGGAAAGCCGCAGUGAAUAGGCCCAAGCGACUGUUUAGCAAAAACACAGCUCUCUGCGAAGCCGUAAGGCGAAGUAUAGGGGGUGACACCUGCCCGGUGCUGGAAGGUUAAGGAGAGGGGUUAGCGUAAGCGAAGCUCUGAACUGAAGCCCCAGUAAACGGCGGCCGUAACUAUAACGGUCCUAAGGUAGCGAAAUUCCUUGUCGGGUAAGUUCCGACCCGCACGAAAGGUGUAACGAUUUGGGCACUGUCUCAACCAGAGACUCGGUGAAAUUAUAGUACCUGUGAAGAUGCAGGUUACCCGCGACAGGACGGAAAGACCCCGUGGAGCUUUACUGUAGCCUGAUAUUGAAUUUUGGUACAUUUUGUACAGGAUAGGCGGGAGCCUUUGAAACCGGAGCGCUAGCUUCGGUGGAGGCGCUGGUGGGAUACCGCCCUGAAUGUAUUGAAAUUCUAACCUACGGGUCUUAUCGACCCGGGAGACAGUGUCAGGUGGGCAGUUUGACUGGGGCGGUCGCCUCCUAAAGUGUAACGGAGGCGCCCAAAGGUUCCCUCAGAAUGGUUGGAAAUCAUUCGUAGAGUGCAAAGGCAUAAGGGAGCUUGACUGCGAGACCUACAAGUCGAGCAGGGACGAAAGUCGGGCUUAGUGAUCCGGUGGUUCCGCAUGGAAGGGCCAUCGCUCAACGGAUAAAAGCUACCCCGGGGAUAACAGGCUUAUCUCCCCAAGAGUCCACAUCGACGGGGAGGUUUGGCACCUCGAUGUCGGCUCAUCGCAUCCUGGGGCUGUAGUCGGUCCCAAGGGUUGGGCUGUUCGCCCAUUAAAGCGGUACGCGAGCUGGGUUCAGAACGUCGUGAGACAGUUCGGUCCCUAUCCGUCGUGGGCGUAGGAAAUUUGAGAGGAGCUGUCCUUAGUACGAGAGGACCGGGAUGGACGCACCGCUGGUGUACCAGUUGUUCUGCCAAGGGCAUAGCUGGGUAGCUAUGUGCGGAAGGGAUAAGUGCUGAAAGCAUCUAAGCAUGAAGCCCCCUCAAGAUGAGAUUUCCCAUAGCGUAAGCUAGUAAGAUCCCUGAAAGAUGAUCAGGUUGAUAGGUUCGAGGUGGAAGCAUGGUGACAUGUGGAGCUGACGAAUACUAAUAGAUCGAGGACUUAACCAUAUAAUAUGUA